rnacentral:lncRNA from 1 species
AUGCAAGAAAAGGAAAGGGAACUGUGGAAUUUGCAGGGGCAGUUGGAGCUGAUCCGAGCUGAGCUGGCUCAGUGGAAGAAGCAGCGAGGCGGACAGACGGAGAGCAGCUCCCUGGAAAACAGAGGGAGGCGGCCGUCGGUGGAUGUGGGAGACCUGCGCCAAAGCAGGCACCAGCAAAAGGGCCUGCUUGGGACAGAAAAGGUGCCCUCUAGUGGCAGCCGUCGUAGCAUAAGCUCCUCCCGCUUGGAGCAGCCGGUUGAGAAACGGGGAGCUCACACCAAAUUGAAAGGCCUUCCCUCACCGAGCUCCCGGGCCCAGAGUACGGAGCGGGGCCGGGAGGAACUACAGGCCCUCAGAACCGAGGUUUUGACGUUGCGGCGGCGCCUGGAUGCUUCGGAGAGCCAACGCAAAACCCUCCUUGAGGCUUGCUGGCAGCAAGAGAAAAGCCGGGCCUGGGCUCAGGAGAGGCAGUUGGGUUCAAUGGUGGGAGCGGCGGCCUGGCAAAAGACAAAGGGCUCCCCAGAGAUCCAUGGGGUUUGCCAGGCCCCCAGGAGCAAAGGACAGGCCUCGGUGAUGGCGGCUGGUGGGGAAGUCUCUGUGGCAGAAGAAGUUGAAGAAGAUGGAGGGGCGGUUGAACCCAAGGCUGUGGCAGAUCCGGGGAAGGAGCUGACCUCGGACGUAGAGACGUCUGAAACAGGAGAAGAUGCGCCAGCCACACGGCAGGCCCACGGGGAGACUGAGGCAGAGGGCCAAGGAGGCAGGACCCCUGACCCGGAGGGGAACGUGGAAGGUUUGCAGGAGGACCUCCUGGACUUGGCCUCUGGCAAGGCCCAAGCCGAAGCCCAAGCCAUCUUGGCCCAGGAAAAGCUCCAGGUCCUGCAGGCCACGCUGGGGAGGCAGACGGAGCGGUUGGCACGAGCCAUGGAGACCCAGAGCCGCCAUGUGGAGGAGCUGCUGGCGGACGCCGAGGAGAAGGAGCAGUUGAUGAGGAGCCUCCGCCAGGAGCUGGAGGAGACCAAGAAAGCCUUGGAAAUGGCCGACGCCGAGGGCCAGAGGCUGCGGGCUCUGCUGGGGCAGAGGGAGGCGGAGGGGCACCAUGCAGAAAGCCCCUCAAACACCUUGGAGGUGCGCGGAGGCAGCGAGACCUCAGAGGUCCCUCUGGUGUCGGCCCAGCUGCAGGGAGACAUGUUGAGCAUUGCGGAUGUUGGUCUAGCGGGACGUCUGCCCGAAGAGAAGCCGGUGCAGCCGGGAGUCCAGGAACAAUUCCUGAAGCUUCCCAGAAGAGAGAGCCCUUGUCUCAGGGGAGCCGACGAAAUGUCCAGACCCAAACUGAGGGACCAGAGUGUGGCCAUCGGCGCAGGGAACGUGUCUCUGUGGCCUUUGAUGACACUCAGUAUGAACCCUACGGGCUCCCUGAGGUGGUCAUGAAAGGUUUUGCUGACAUCCCAUCUGGUCCCUCUUGCCCAUAUGUUCUCCGCCGGGGCAUUUUGGGAAGUGCCCCUGUUGCCCAGCUGGCCCCGCGAGCAGAACCAGAAGAGGAUUCCCCUGAGGCAGAGGAAGGGACAGGCGUCUGAGAACAGCCUAGCAGGUGAGAGAUCCUGGUGUCAGGUGCAGUUCUGAGCCGGGUGUGCAAGUCCUGUUUGCAUUUUAAUGCAAUAAUAAAUUAUAUGCCUGACAUAUGGGGAUUAGUGGCAGGAGAACACACACACACACAAUAAAAAGGAUUUUGCAACCCCUAGUAGGAUAAAUAUCGACCGUCUGUUACCAUCUUCAAAUAUCUAAAGGGCUGUCACAUGGAAGUUGGAGCAAGCUUGCUUUCUGCUGCUCCAGAGGAGAGGACCACAACCAGUUCUCCUUCACUGGAGGUUUCCAAACAGAGUUCAGGUGGCCACCUGUCAGUGUUUCUCUAGCUGUGAUUCCCGCACUAGGUGUCCCUUCCAACCCUACACAGUAUUAUGAUUGUCUGAGGAUCUUGCUGUCCUGUCUACAUUUGAGCAUAUGCCAUAUUUCAAUUUCAUGUGGAUGCCUAUUUGGAUGUUUGGAGGGCUUACACAUUAACUUACCUGUUUAAUUUAGAAUGCACAAACUGAUGGCUCCUUUGUCUGUAAUGUCAGUUGAUGAUGGGGUCCCCCCCCUGCUGUUAGACCCAUUAAGCAUUCUGUUCAAGUGAAAACAGAGUGGGGUGGAAGGGAAAGAAACGAUAGCUCAGUGGUUGAGCAUGCCAGGCACAUCCAAUUUAAAAGGGUCUCAGGUAGCAAUUGAUGGAGAAGACAAAACCCUGGAGAUAAAACUGCCAAUCUGAGCAGACAGUCCCAAGUCUUCUCCCUCACUGCAUACUGGCAAUGCAACUUCCUCCCUCUUUUAGUAUGAGAUGUGUAACAUUUCGCUCCCCCUUCCUCCCUACCCCCCACCCCAUUGUCUCAGCACAGGUUAUCAUUCUCUCCGUAUUGUACCUGGCCUUUUCCACCUGCGCCAAUAUUUCUGCACCAGCCACCAAAAGAUGUGUGUCUCUGUGGGAAACCCCUGCUGUGGGCUUCCUUGGUUCCUGAUCUGAAAGGAGAUGGGCUGAUGAUCUCUGCCACUGUGCACUAGAGUCUCCUUUUCGCUUCCCUGGCUGCCACGCUCCGUCAGUUUCUGAAAAGAUGAUGUUCCUUACAGGCAUUCUAAGCCGAAGGGGGGGAAGUAUUUUCAGUCUUUUCAUCCUCCCCCGCCCCACCCUCCCUCUCCUGCAUCCUUCUGAUACCCAGAGGACUUUUUGGAAAUGAGGAAGAGUAUUUGGGGAGCAUCCACUGGAAGAGACUAGCAGAAAAGGCGCAAUCAUCCCUCCUGGAUUUAUACCACCCCUCGCCCAUCAUUGGAGGAGACCAUCUUUCCACAGUGGCCAUUCCUAUUUGACAGCCAAUCACAGACUCCAUAGCUCCGAGUGAGUAACCAGUAGCAAAGAGGAUGGAACACAUGGCUGCAGUUGGUUUCCUGCCCUCCACAUUUAUUUAUUUUUUUCACCUGGGAGAGCAGGGGCUGUUGCUGCUUUCCAAUCAGCAAUAAACAGGACAGUCCAGAGACCCCCCCCCACCUUGCCAGGAGAAUCGUGCUGUUUAAAAGUGGGGUUUUUAUUUUGUUAUUGGAGCAAUGCGAAUGAUGGAAGAUGUGGCAAAAUCAACACGGAGCAGCACAGCUGUCUGCAACCAGUUUGUCAGAUAACCGCAUGUGAUGGGCUGUGUGGAUGCUGGCACGCCAGGAGCGUUUGCCACUUGAGACGGCCAAGAUGGUGUUUGCCCCCAAAGCCAAGUGCAAAAAAAGGGUAAGGAAUCUGAAGCUACUCAAUAGGCAAAAAACAAAGCCACCCCAAGCAGAAUCACCAUUUGUUGCUGUUUAGUCGUUUAGUCGGGUCCGACUCUUUGUGACCCCAUGGACCAGAGCACGCCAGGCACUCCUGUCUUCCACUGCCUCCUGCAGUUUUGUCAGACUCAUGCUGGUAGCUUGAGAACACUGUCCAACCAUCUCGUCCUCUGUCAUCCCCUUCUCCUUGUGCAUCUUUCCCAACAUCAGGGUCUUUUCCAGGGAGUCUUCUCUUCUCAUGAGGUGGCCAAAGUAUUGGAGCCUCAGCUUCACGAUCUGUCCUUCCAGUGAGCACUCAGGGCUGAUUCCCUUAAGAAUGGAUAGGUUUGAUCUUCUUGCAGUCCAUGGGACUCUCAAGAGUCUCCUCCAACACCAUAAUUCAAAAGCAUCAAUUUUUCGGCGACCAGCCUUCUUUAUGGUCCAGCUCUCACUUCCCUACAUCACUACUGGGAAAACCAUAGCUUUAACUAUAUGGACCUUUGUUGGCAAGGUGAUGUCUCUGCUUUUUAAGAUGCUGUCUAGGUUUGUCAUUGCUUUUCUCCCAAGAAGCAGGCGUCUUUUAAUUUCGUGACUGCUGUCACCAUCUGCAGUGAUCACGGAGCCCAAGAAAGUAAAAUCUCUCACUGCCUCCAUUUCUUCCCCUUCUAUUUGCCAGGAGGUGAUGGGCCCAGUGGCCAUGAUCUUCGUUUUUUUGAUGUUGAGUUUCAGACUAUAUUUUGCACUCUGUCACCCUCAUUAAAAGGUUCUUUAAUUCCUCCUCACUUUCUGCCAUCAAGGUUGUGAAUCACUAUACUGUAUAGAAUCACUAUACUGUACAUAAAUAUUACACACAAACACAGGUUUCAGAAGGGGAGAUAUUUAUAUGUUUGUGGGAGGGGUGAGAAUCUACAGCUUUUUUAUUAAUAACAAGAUGAUAAUAAUUACUGGAUUUCUUACCCACCCUUGUCCAUAAGGUCCCAGGAUAACAACAAGAUUAAAAUUACCGUAUUUUUCGCUCCUAUAGGACGCACUUUUUCCCCUCCAAAAAUGAAGGGGAAAUGUGUGUGCAUCCUAUGGGGCGAAUGCAGGCUUUCGCUGAAGCCUGGAGAGCGAGGGGGGGUCGGUGCGCACCAACCCCUCUCGCUCUCCAGGCUUCAGGAAGCUAUCUGCAAGCCAUGGGAGAGCUGCGCAACUUCGCGCAGCUCUCCCACAGCUUGCGGAGAGCUGCCUGCACCCCGAAGCCUGGGACGCGCUGAGCUCAGCACGCCCCAGGCUUCGGGCUUCGCGCAACUCUCCGCUAGCCGUGGGAGAGCUGCGCGAAGUCGCACAGCUCUCCCACGGCUUGCGGAUAGCAGCCUGUUCUGGGAGCUGGGGUCGGGGGAAGCUCGGGCUUCCCCCGCCCCAGUCCCGCACCUGGGGGGGGAAUAAAUUUUGUUUUCUUUAUUUCCCCCCCAAAAAACUAGAUGCGCCCUAUGGGCCGGUGCGCCCUAUGGGGCGAAAAAUACGGUAGUUAAAAUAAUUUGCGGUGGCAGGGAAAAGGGCGGAUCCAAAACAUGGGGUUGUAUCCAGAGCUAGCCCAACUCAGGAGUAGACUUGCUGAAAUUAAUGGCCAGGGUAAAGAGGUGUAUCUUCAGCAUAUGAUGGAAGCUCUACGUGAAGGUGCUGCCACAGAGAAUGCUGGCUGCUCUGUUGCUCUGCCCACCACCGGUAUCCCACCGCCCAAGGUUGCCCCAGUAGAUAACUUGGCCUUCAAAAGCCUCCCCUGAUUCAUCAGGCAAUGCCAAGAAUCAAACCUGGGACCUUCUGCAAGCAAAGCAGGGGCUCUACUGUUGAGUGAUGAUGGUUCCUCCUGCUGCUCUUCUACCUUCACUGGGGGUGCUGGAGACUUGCAGGCCUUGAGGUCAGAAAGAAGCAAGGGGAGCCCAAGCCAGGGAGCACACAGACCACCAGCAGCCCGCUGACAUGAGUGGACUCUGCCAGUCUGUCUUCUUUCCAUAUUGUGUGUUUCUUUUGGUGUCUAAAGUGUGAACCACCUCGGGUGCCUUGGCAGAAAGGCAGUAUCCAAUCAGUUAACCAAUAAUAAAAUAAACCACACACCCCACUCUGUCUUAGAUUCCUCAAUAUGAAAUGGCGGUGGCGGGGAGGGGGGAGAGAUUUCAGUCUUCUUGAACCACUCUGACGUUGCAUUUAGCAGGGUAGUGGUAAUAAUAAAUUUUUUAUUAUUUAUAUGCCACCCAUCUGACUGGGUUGCUCCAGCCACUCUGGGCGGCUUCCAGCAAAAUGUAAACAACGCAAUAAAACAUCAGACAUUAAAAACCACUGGAUUACAGGGCUGCAUUCAUAUGUCUAAAGAAAAAAUUGUAUGGUUGUUUAUCUCCUUGACAUCUGAUGGGAGGGUGUUCCAUGGGGAGGGCGCACUAACGGGAAGGCCCUCUGCCUGGUUCCCUGUAACUUCACUUGGGAACUGUUGUUUGUGAAGGGUGCUGGAAAUUGUAGCUAUGUGAGUGGAUGAUUACACUUC